CAGCAGCCGCGGGAAUACGAAGGGUGCAAGCGUUAAUCGGAAUUACUGGGCGUAAAGCGUGCGUAGGCGGUUUGUUAAGUCUGCUGUGAAAUCCCCGGGCUCAACCUGGGAAUGGCAGUGGAUACUGGCAAGCUAGAGUGUGUCAGAGGAUGGUGGAAUUCCCGGUGUAGCGGUGAAAUGCGUAGAGAUCGGGAGGAACAUCAGUGGCGAAGGCGGCCAUCUGGGACAACACUGACGCUGAGGCACGAAAGCGUGGGGAGCAAACAGGAUUAGAUACCCCUGUAGUCCCUGUCUCUUAUCC
rnacentral:rRNA from 1 species